CCCUCGGGACCAUCUGGGCACACCGGGGACAGCUGGGGACAGCGGGACAGGUGGCACUGGUGGCGCGGGUGACACCGGUGGCGCGGGUGGCACUCGGACAGGUGGCACUGGUGACACCGGUGGCACUCGGACAGGUGGCACUGGUGGCACUGGUGGCACUGGGGGGGAGGGGAACAGGUGGUGAGGGGGAGGGGAGGGGGGGAGGGGAGGGGACAGCGGGGCUGGGCUGGGCUGGUUAUACUGGGUUGUACUGGGUUUACUGGGUUGUACUGGUUUAUACUGGGUUAUACUGGUUUGUACUGGGUUGUAUUGGUUUAUACUGUCCAUACUGUUUAUACUGGGUUACACCGGUCCAUACUGGUCCGUACUGGAUUACACUGGUCCAUACUGGUUUAUACUGGUCCAUACUGGUUUAUACUGGUCCAUACUGGUCCAUACUGGUUUAUACUGUCUGUACUGGUCCAUACUGGUCCAUACCAGUCCAUACUGGUCCAUACUGGAUUAUACUGGUCCAUACUGGUCCAUACUGGUCUGUACUGGUUUAUACCAGUCCAUACUGGUUUGUACUGGUCCAUACUGGUCCAUACCGGUCCAUACUGGAUUACACUGGUUUAUACUGGUCCAUACUGGUCCAUACUGGUCCAUACUGGUUUAUACUGGUGCAGGUCAUGGACGCCCCCUCAGAUGAAGGUGACGAUGACGAUGAUGAGCAGCCGCUGCCGCAGGAGCGCCCCCUGCAGGCCGUGGCUGUCCCCUCCGAGGCCGGUGCUGAGGAUGAAGGUGACGAUGACGAUGAUGAGCAGUCACUGGCGCGGGCUCAGGAGCGCCUCCAGCAGGUCUGUACUGGUUUGUACUGGUUUGUACUGGUCCGUACUGGUCUGUACUGGUUUGUACUGGUCCGUACUGGUCCGUACUGGUUUGUACUGGUUUGUACUGGUGGCAGAUCAUGGACGCCCCCUGGGAGGCCGCUGACGAUGAAGGUGACGAUGAUGAGGAUGAGGAGUCGGUGGCGCGGGCCCAGGAGCGGCUCCUGCAGGUCUGUACUGGUUUAUACUGGUCUGUACUGGUUUUUACUGGUUUGUACUGGUCUGUACUGGUCUGUACUGGUUUUUACUGGUUUGUACUGGUUUAUACUGGUCUGUACUGGUUUGUACUGGUCUGUACUGGUCUGUACUGGUCUGUACUGGUUUGUACUGGUCCGUACUGGUCCAUACUGGUUAUUCUGGUUUAUUCUGGUCUGUACUGGUUUAUACUGGUCCAUAAUGAUCCAUACUGGUCUGUGCUGGUUUAUACCGGUCUGUACUGGUUAUACUGGUCCUUACUGGUUUAUACUGGCCCAUACUAGUCCAUACCGGUCUGUACUGGUCCAUACUGGUCCGUACUGGUCUGUUCCGGUCCAUACUGGUCCAUACUGGUCCAUACUGGUUUAUACUGGUUUAUACUGGUCCAUACUGGUCCAUAUUGGUUUAUUCUGGUCCAUACUGGUUUAUACUGGUUUAUACUAGUCCAUACUGGUCCAUACUGGUCCAUACUGGUCCAUACUGGUCCAUACCGGUCCAUACCGGUCCAUACUGGUCCAUACUGGUCCAUACUGGUCCAUACCGGUCCAUACUGGUCCAUACUGGUCCAUACUGGUCCAUACUGGUCCAUACUGGUCCGUACCGGUCCAUACUGGUCCAUACUGGUCCAUACUGGUCCAUACUGGUCCAUACUGGUCCAUACUGUUCCAUACUGGUCCAUACCGGUUUAUACUGCUCCAUACCGGUCCAUACUGGUUUAUACUGGUCCAUACUGGUCCAUACUGGUCCAUACCGGUCCAUACUGGUCCAUACUGGUCCAUACUGGUCCAUACUGGUUCCAUACUGGUCCAUACCAGUCCAUACUGGCCCAUACUGGUUUAUACUGGUUUAUACUGGUCCAUACUGGUUUAUACUGGUUUAUACUGGUUUAUACUGGUUUAUACUGGUUUAUACCGGUUUAUACCGGUUUAUACUGGUCCAUACUGGUCCAUACCGGUCCAUACCGGUCCAUACUGGUCCAUACUGGUCUGUACUGGUCCAUACAGGUCUAUACUGGUUUAUACUGGUUUAUACUGGCCCAUACCAGUCCAUACCGGUCCAUACUGGUCCAUACCGGUCCAUACUGGUCCAUACUGGUUUAUACCGGUCCGUACUGGUUUAUACCGGUUUAUACUGGUCCAUACUGGUCCAUAUUGGUCCAUACUGGUUUAUACCAGUCCAUACUGGUCCAUACUGGUCCAUAUUGGUCCGUACUGGUUUAUACUGGUUCAUACCGGUUUAUACUGGUUUAUACUGGUUUAUACCGGUCUGUACCGGUCCGUACCGGUUUAUACUGGUUUAUACCGGUCCAUACUGGUCCGUACUGGUCCAUACUGGUUUAUACUGGUCUAUACUGGUUCAUACCGGUUUAUACUGGUUUUUACUGGUUUAUACUGGUCUAUACUGGUGCAGGCGCUGAUGUCCCGCGCCGGGCGGGCGCUGCCGCUCCGGGAUCUGGGUCAGGACUGGCAGCUGCUGCGGGAGCUCGGCAGCGGCUCCUACGGACGCGUCGUGAUGGCCCGGCCCCGGCGCGGAGGUGAGUGUACCUGGGCACCUGGGCACACCUGGGCACACCUGGGGGCACCUGGGCACAGCUGGGGAUACACCUGGGAGCAUCUGGGGCACCUGGGCACAGCUGGGCACACCUGGGGAUACACCUGGGGGCACCCUGGGGCACCUGAAAUACACCUGGGGGCACUUGGGGAUAUCCACAGACACACCUGGGCACACUUGGGGCACCUGGGGCACCUGGGGCACCUGAAAUAUACCUGGGCACACCUGGGCACCUGGGGAUACACCUGGGGCACCUGG
ensembl:lncRNA